rnacentral:rRNA from 1 species
AUUGAACGCUGGCGGCAUGCCUUACACAUGCAAGUCGAACGGCAGCACGGGAGCAAUCCUGGUGGCGAGUGGCGAACGGGUGAGUAAUAUAUCGGAACGUGCCCAGUCGUGGGGGGAUAACGCAGCGAAAGUUGUGCUAAUACCGCAUACGAUCUAUGGAUGAAAGCGGGGGAUCGCAAGACCUCGCGCGAUUGGAGCGGCCGAUAUCAGAUUAGGUUGUUGGUGAGGUAAAAGCUCACCAAGCCUGCGAUCUGUAGCUGGUCUGAGAGGACGACCAGCCACACUGGAACUGAGACACGGUCCAGACUCCUACGGGAGGCAGCAGUGGGGAAUUUUGGACAAUGGACGCAAGUCUGAUCCAGCAAUGCCGCGUGCAGGACGAAGGCCUUCGGGUUGUGUAACUGCUUUGUACUAGAACGAAAAGUACUUUAAUAACACUAGAGGCGUCAUGACGGUACUGUAAG